rnacentral:lncRNA from 1 species
AGAUGACAAUAGUGAUUGAAUAUAAGUAAUGUUGUUUGAAUAUGGAGUUCAAUCUUUCUUUAAUUUGUUCAUUGUUGAAGUCAGUUAUAGCUGACUAUACAGUUUGGGUUUUACUUUUUGUUGAAGGCAGUAUGGUGACCUAUAAUUGCUUACAUAUCUCUGGUGGAUUGUUAGGUCUUACCUAGGAACUAGCAGGGAAAAUUACAAAGACUUAAAACCGUUGGGUUUUUGCAAGUCUAAGAGUUGAUUCAGACAGGGUUCUGAUAAAUAUGUAGGAAGGAAAUUUUCUACCUAGUUAUUAAAAAUUAUAAAUGACAAAUAGAGAUCAGUAUUUAAACAUGAUACAUACCUUGUAUAUAAUAUGUCCUUGACUUUUAAACUGAAGAAAAUUGUACAAAUAUCUUGAUUAAAAUUAAUUGAAUGGGGU